GUUUUUAUCAAAAAUGCUGGAAGGUGGUGGAAGAAUCUGUUUCUAGAUUUGUUAUGAAUUUUCUGCAGGGAGGGGAUUUGCUUCCUGGGAUUUGCGAUGUAAUGAUCACUCUUCUUCCUAAGGUUGAACAUCCUGAAUUUAUUAGUCAAUUUCGGCCCAGAAGCUUAUGUAAUGUCACUUGUAAGUUUAUUUCUAAGGUCUUAGAGAAUCGAAUGAGAUUAGUGCUACCAGAUUUAAUUGGGUUGACUCAAUCUAGUUUCAUUAUGGGGAGGCAGCUUCAUGAUAAUGUGGUCAUUCUUCAAGAAGUAAUUCAUUCUAUGCGUCGCAGGGCAAAUAAUAAUAAUUGGAUGGUUCUGAAGAUUUAUAUUCAGAAGGCGUAUGAUAGAUUGAGAUGGAGUUUUGUUGAAAAUUCUCUUCAGUUAGCUGGUUUUUCGAAUAAGUGGUGUAGUUUGAUCAUGAUGUGUUUGCGGGGUUCGUCUAUGCAGGUUCUUUGGACUGGGAAAUUGUCUGAGAGUUUCACUCCUUCUCGAGGUGUUAGACAAGGGGACCCAAUCUCCCCUUAUCUAUUUGUAUUAUGUAUGGAGCGUUUAGCUCAUCGAAUUAGACUUGCGCUUGAAUGUAAUGAGUGGAAGCCGAUUCGAUUGUGCAGGAGUUUUUUCUGGGGAAAGCAAAAGGGUAAGAAGC
rnacentral:misc_RNA from 1 species